rnacentral:rRNA from 1 species
UACAGAGGUCUCGAGCGUUGUUCGGAUUCAUUGGGCGUAAAGGGUGCGUAGGCGGCGCGGUAAGUCGGGUGUGAAAUCUCGGAGCUUAACUCCGAAACUGCAUUCGAUACUGCCGUGCUUGAGGACUGGAGAGGAGACUGGAAUUUACGGUGUAGCGGUGAAAUGCGUAGAUAUCGUAAGGAAGACCAGUGGCGAAGGCGGGUCUCUGGACAGUUCCUGACGCUGAGGCACGAAGGUCAGGGGAGCAAACGGGG